UACGAAGGGGGCUAGCGUUGUUCGGAAUUACUGGGCGUAAAGCGUGCGUAGGCGGGCGACUAAGUCAGGUGUGAAAUCCCGGGGCUCAACCUCAGAACUGCAUUUGAUACUGGUUGCCUAGAGACCGGGAGAGGUGAGCGGAAUACCGAGUGUAGAGGUGAAAUUCGUAGAUAUUAGGUGUAACACCAGUGGCGAAGGCGGUUCACUGGACCGGUACUAACGCUGAGGCACGAAAUCGUGGGGAGCAAACAGG
rnacentral:rRNA from 1 species